CCUGAAGUCCACGCUGCAACAUUCUGUUGCAGGUCCCACUUGUGAUGGACCAAUGGCAAGAGAGUUUAUUGAAGCUCCAAUUCUGUAGAUAUUUCCAAUCUCACAGCUUCCAAGCCCAACUUAUAAUUGGCUGACUACAUCUCUCAGACUGUACUGACAACUUAAAAUGUAAAUGAGGUGCAGCUUUUAUCCCUAGCAUCAUGAAAGCCUGGUAAUGAGCUCUAGUCCUCCAGCUCCUGCCAUGGACCUCACUGCCAGACACUCUGUCUGCUUCAGUGCAGUGUGGAAAACAUCUCCUCAAUCUUUUGCCAGUAUCAACAGUAUUGGAGAGACACUUCAGUAAUCUGCAAUGGCUAAUGAUCAAUACAACAUAACACGAAGGCUCUGCCAUGCCCUUCAGCACGAACAGCUUGUACUAGCUUGUUCAGAAUCUACACCCAGAUGGAGGCCAGUAGUGAGCAAGAGCUAACCUGCAAGUCAAUGGUAAAAGAAAGA